rnacentral:tRNA from 1 species
CAAAAAAUAGUUUAUUUAAAAUAUUAAUUUUGGAGAUUAAUGAUAGGAUAUUUUCUUUUUUUGA